rnacentral:tRNA from 1 species
GGUUCAAGUCCCUCUAUCCCCAAUAAAAUAAAACCCC